GACAGAGGGGGCAAGCGUUGCUCGGAAUCACUGGGCGUAAAGGGCGCGUAGGCGGGAUGGCAAGUCAGUCGUGAAAUCUCUCGGCUCAACCGAGAAACGUCGGCUGAUACUGCCGUUCUUGAGGGAUGCAGAGGAGACUGGAAUUCCCGGUGUAGCGGUGAAAUGUGUAGAGAUCAGGAGGAACACCAGCGGCGAAGGCGGCGCUCUGGGCUGGAACUGACGCUGUGGAGCGAAAGCGUGGGGAGCAAACAGG
rnacentral:rRNA from 1 species